GACGAACGCUGGCGGCGUGCUUAACACAUGCAAGUCGAACGGAAAGGCCUCUUUCGGGGGGUACUCGAGUGGCGAACGGGUGAGUAACACGUGAGUAACCUGCCCUUGACUUUGGGAUAACUUCAGGAAACUGGGGCUAAUACCGGAUAGGAGCUCCUGCUGCAUGGUGGGGGUUGGAAAGUUUCGGCGGUUGGGGAUGGACUCGCGGCUUAUCAGCUUGUUGGUGGGGUAGUGGCUUACCAAGGCUUUGACGGGUAGCCGGCCUGAGAGGGUGACCGGCCAAAUUGGGACUGAGAUAGGGCCCAGACUCCUACGGGGGGGAGAAGGGGGGAAUUUUGCAAAAGGGGGGGAAGCCGGAUGCAGACACCCCUGGGGCGGGAUGACGGCCUUCGGGUUUUAAACCGUUUUCACCCAUGAAGAAGCUUUGUGGGGGGGUAGGGGGAAAAGAAGCACCGGUAAACUACGU
rnacentral:rRNA from 1 species